UGAACGCUGGCGGCGUGCCUAAUACAUGCACGUCGAGCGACCAGAUGAGGAGCUUGCUCCUCUGACGUUAGCGGCGGACGGGUGAGUAACACGUGGAUAACCUACCUAUAAGACUGGGAUAACUUCGGGAAACCGGAGCUAAUACCGGAUAAUAUAUUGAACCGCAUGGUUCAAUAGUGAAAGACGGUUUUGCUGUCACUUAUAGAUGGAUCCGCGCCGCAUUAGCUAGUUGGUAAGGUAACGGCUUACCAAGGCAACGAUGCGUAGCCGACCUGAGAGGGUGAUCGGCCACACUGGAACUGGGACACGGUCCAGACUCCUACGGGAGGCAGCAGUAGGGAAUCUUCCGCAAUGGGCGAAAGCCUGACGGAGCAACGCCGCGUGAGUGAUGAAGGUCUUCGGAUCGUAAAACUCUGUUAUUAGGGAAGAACAAAUGUGUAAGUAACUAUGCACGUCUUGACGGUACCUAAUCAGAAAGCCACGGCUAACUACGUG
rnacentral:rRNA from 1 species